GACGAACGCUGGCGGCGUGCCUAACACAUGCAAGUCGUGCGAGAAAGUUCCUUCGGGAGCGAGUAAAAGCGGCGCACGGGUGAGUAACACGUAGGUAACCUGCCCCCCAGUCUGGAACAACUAGAGGAAACUCUAGCUAAUGCCGGAUGAGACCACGAUCCCCUUCGGGGGUUGCGGCCAAAGAUGGCCUCUACUUGUAAGCUAUCGCUGAGGGAUGGGCCUGCGGCCAUUAGCUUGUUGGUGAGGUAACGGCUCACCAAGGCUGUGAUGGCUAGCUGGUCUGAGAGGAUGACCAGCCACACUGGGACUGAGACACGGCCCAGACUCCUACGGAGGCAGCAGUGGGAAUAUUGCGCAAUGGGCGAAGCCUGACGCAGCGACGCCGCGUGGGUGA
rnacentral:rRNA from 1 species